AGGAAUAUUCUUAAGGGGAUUAAUAUGAUUUUUAAGGGUUUUAGGACUCUUUUUCUUGCCAAAAAAUUAUGAAAAAUUUAUCUAUAAAUAGGAGGUCUGGGAAUAAGCUUUAAGAGAAAAAAAAUUGAAUAGAAAGUAUAGAAAAAAAUAGAAAAAAAUCUAAAUAACUUUAGGGAUCCAAGAAAAAGAAGGAGAAAAGUCAGUUCACUCCACAAAGUACGACGAAAGAUGGAGGGGUCAUCAACCAUCUUUUCGAUGAGGCUUGGCUGAUCAACUUCAGAUCAU
rnacentral:lncRNA from 1 species